GUCGAGCGAUAACCCGAGCUUCGGCUCUGGGGAAAGCGGCGAAGGGGUGAGUAACACGUGAGUAAUCUGCCCUCGACACUGGGAUAGCCCGGGGAAACCCGGAUUAAUACCGGAUAGCCUUUCGAGCUCUCGGGCUCGUCAGAAAAGGAUGGCUUCGGCUUUCGGUUGAGGAUGAGCUUGCGGCGGAUUAGCUUGUUGGUGAGGUAACGGCUCACCAAGGCGACAAUCCGUAACUGGUCUGAGAGGACGAUCAGCCACACUGGGACUGAGACACGGCCCAGACUCCUACGGGAGGCAGCAGUGGGGAAUCUUGCGCAAUGAGCGAAAGCUUGACGCAUCGACGCCGCGUGAGGGAAGAAGGCCUUCGGGUUGUAAACCUCCUUCAGGAGGGACGAAUCCGCUCGGGUUAAUACCCCAUAGGGUGACGGUACCUCCAGAAGAAGCCCCGGCUAACUACGUGCCAUCAGCCGCGGUAAUACGUAGGGGGCAAGCGUUGUCCGGAAUUAUUGGGCGUAAAGAGCGUGUAGGCGGCCAGGUAGGUCUGCUGUGAAAACUCGAGGCUCAACCUCGAGCUGUCGGUGGAAACCAUCUGGCUAGAGUCCGGAAGAGGAUAAUGGAAUUCCUGGUGUAGCGGUGAAAUGCGCAGAUAUCAGGAAGAACACCCGUGGCGAAGGCGGUUCUCUGGGACGGUACUGACGCUGAUACGCGAAAGCGUGUGGAGCAAACAGGAUUAGAUACCCUGGUAGUCCACGCCGUAUACGAUGGGUGCUAGGUGUGGGCGGUGUCAACUCCGUCCGUGCCGAGGCUAACGCAUUAAGCACCCCGCCUGGGGAGUACGGCCGCAAGGCUAAAACUCAAGGAAUUGACGGGCGCCCGCACAAGCAGCGCAUCAUGUGGUUCAAUUCGACGCAGCGCGAAGAACCUUACCAAGGCUUGACAUGCACUGGAAUGUCGUACAAAUACGGCAGCCCCUUCGG
rnacentral:rRNA from 1 species